AGGAAGGUGGGUAGUGUUAAUAGUCAUACUCAUUUGACGUUAGCUGCAGAAGAAGCACCGGCUAACUCCGUGCCAGCAGCCGCGGUAAUACGGAGGGUGCGAGCGUUAAUCGGAAUUACUGGGCGUAAAGCGCAUGCAGGUGGUUUGUUAAGUCAGAUGUGAAAGCCCGGGGCUCAACCUCGGAAUUGCAUUUGAAAACUGGCAAACUAGAGUACUGUAGAGGGGGUAGAAUUUCAGGUGUAGCGGUGAAAUGCGUAGAGAUCUGAAGGAAUACCGGUGGCGAAGGCGGCCCCCUGGACAGAUACUGACACUCAGAUGCGAAAGCGUGGGGAGCAAACAGGAUUAGAUACCCUGGUAG
rnacentral:rRNA from 1 species